rnacentral:rRNA from 1 species
UACGGGGGGGGGCAAGCGUUGUUCGGAAUUACUGGGCGUAAAGGGCUCGUAGGCGGCCAACUAAGUCGGACGUGAAAUCCCCAGGCUCAACCUGGGAACUGCGUCCGAUACUGGAUGGCUUGAAUCCGGGAGAGGGAUGCAGAAUUCCAGGUGUAGCGGUGAAAUGCGUAGAUAUCUGGAGGAAUACCGGUGGCGAAGGCGGCAUCCUGGACCGGCAUUGACGCUGAGGAGCGAAAGCGUGGGGAGCGAAACAGG